UUACAGAGUUGCAAACUCCCCCCCCAAACCAUCGCGAACGUAUACCCAACCGUUGCUUCGGCGGCUCGCCCGCCGGAGGUACCAAACCCACUGUAUUUUGCAUGGCCUCUCUGAGUCUCAGUACUUGAAAAUCAAGUUUAAAACUUUCAACAACGGAUCUCUUGGUUCUGGCAUCGAUGAAGAACGCAGCGAAAUGCGAUAAGUAAUGUGAAUUGCAGAAUUCAGCGAAUCAUCGAAUCUUUGAACGCACAUUGCGCCCGCCAGCACUCUGGCGGGCAUGCCUGUUCGAGCGUCAUUUCCACCAUCAGGCCCCCGGGCUUGUGUUGGGGCCCUGCGGCUGCCCGCAGGCCCCGAAAACCAGUGGCGGGCUCGCCGCCGCGCCCGAGCGUAGUAGAUCAUCCCUCUCGCUCGGGGCGCGCCGCGGCGUUCCCGGCCGUUAAACACACCACUAAACAGAAAGGUUGACCUCGGAUCAGGUAGGAAUACCCGCUGAACUUAAGCAUAUCAAUAAGCGGAGGAAAAGAAACCAACAGGGAUUGCCCCAGUAACGGCGAGUGAAGCGGCAACAGCUCAAAUUUGAAAUCUGGCCUCGGCCCGAGUUGUAAUUUGUAGAGGAAGCUUUCUGGCGCGGCACCUCCUGAGUCCCCUGGAACGGGGCGCCAUAGAGGGUGAGAGCCCCGUAUAGUUGGAUGCCUAGCCGCUGUAAAGCUCCUUCGACGAGUCGAGUAGUUUGGGAAUGCUGCUCAAAAUGGGAGGUAAAUUUCUUCUAAAGCUAAAUACCGGCCAGAGACCGAUAGCGCACAAGUAGAGUGAUCGAAAGAUGAAAAGCACUUUGAAAAGAGAGUUAAAUAGCACGUGAAAUUGUUGAAAGGGAAGCGCUUGUGACCAGACGUGCGCCCGUGGCGGAUCACCCGGUGUUCUCACCGGUGCACUCCGCCCGGCGCAGGCCAGCAUCGGUUCUCGCGGGGGGAGAAAGGCCCUGGGAACGUAGCUCCUCCGGGAGUGUUAUAGCCCGGGGCGUAAUGCCCUCGCGGGGACCGAGGCUCGC
rnacentral:rRNA from 1 species